rnacentral:rRNA from 1 species
GACGAACGCUGGCGGCGUGCCUAAUACAUGCAAGUUGAGCGCUGAAGGUUGGUACUUGUACCAACUGGAUGAGCAGCGAACGGGUGAGUAACGCGUGGGGAAUCUGCCUUUGAGCGGGGGACAACAUUUGGAAACGAAUGCUAAUACCGCAUAAAAACUUUAAACACAAGUUUUAAGUUUGAAAGAUGCAAUUGCAUCACUCAAAGAUGAUCCCGCGUUGUAUUAGCUAGUUGGUGAGGUAAAGGCUCACCAAGGCGAUGAUACAUAGCCGACCUGAGAGGGUGCUCGGCCACAUUGGGACUGGGACACGGCCCAAACUCCUACGGGAGGCAGCAGUAGGGAAUCUUCGGCAAUGGACGAAAGUCUGACCGAGCAACGCCGCGUGAGUGAAGAAGGUUUUCGGAUCGUAAAACUCUGUUGGUAGAGAAGAACGUUGGUGAGAGUGGAAAGCUCAUCAAGUGACGGUAACUACCCAGAAAGGGACGGCUAACUACGUG